AGUCGUUUUUGUAGCAUAGCUCAUUUUAUUGUUUAAACAGUUUUGCAUAGGAAAUAUAUCCACUUCCAGUAAUUGACUGCAGUAAAAACAGCUGCUAGCAGUAUAGGCUGGAUAUAACAGUAACAAUCACAAAAGGUUGAGCCUCUAUUUACACUGAUUUUUAAUCUUGUGGCAAUUUUAGCCCCUGCAUCAAAUGUAACCAGCUUGAAGGCAUUGCCUAAAUGCUUCGCAUUACUAAAAAUCAAUAAAAAGAAGGGAUAUCAAGGCCUUCGCUAUACAGUUCACAAUGGACACCUGUGGCUCCUAGACUGUAAAUUAAAAAGAUAAAAUAAUAAAAAAAAAAAACAGGUUUCCAAAAUUCCUCUAAAACAUACAUUCAGAUACAUACAUAGACCUUGAACACACUUGCAGUGUAACUACGAUCACUACUGGAGACUGCUUACAUACUGUUUUGUUGUUGGUGUUGUUGUUGUUCGUUAUGUACAAAUCCGCCGUAGAUCCUCAGAGUGAAAUGUGUGUGCAGAGGGAAGAGAAAGUGCCACAAAAUCCCCACUACCCACCUCCCGUUUAAAAAACACAAAACAAACAAAAAAAAAACCAAAUCCAUAAACAACAAAUCAGCUCUGCAGAGAAAAGAAAAUACAUUACUUCAUCCUUUCACUGCACAUAAUGUAGCACUGACCCUCUUUGCUCCGACUCCCCAGAAAAGGAAGAUUAUUUUAGAGUUUAAACAAGUUUGAUGUGGACAUGUGUGUUGACAUAUUUAUAAUAUGAAAACAUUACAAAACAAAACAAAAAAAAAAUCAAUAAGCGUGUAAUGCAAAGAACAUUUUCCAGAUGACUACGCCACAUUCUCCUCUGAGUGACGCAAUUUAUGUUUUAUCACAUUCUACUGUUAUAUACAACAGACACUUGGACAGCUUGAACAGGCACUGCUAGCUUCUCAUCUCCGUUUGGUGAGUUACAACCUGUAAAAAUGCUGGUUUUAAUGUUUGCUUUAUAACCUGACGUUGACUGACUAGCAGCUAGCCAAAAGUAUGGAGGAUGUGUAUUGCUCGAGUGGGAUGAAAAUGAAGUUUCCUUUACGCCUGCACGCCUCUCAGUCCCUUCAGAACGCUCGAAGUAAAACAAAAAAUAAAACCACACGUAUUGGAUGAGUGCCACAGGUCCUCCUUGCAUAUGGUUGCCCUGUUCCUCUGUCAUGAUUAGAGUUGUAAUACUUUAGACAAAAAUUAAAAUAAUGAUCUGACAUGAUGCUGCGGACAGAUUGAACACUGUUUACAUUAUUUUUUUAAUAAAGUUUCAGGACGUUUUCGACAUUCAAACUGAAAAACAAACAAAAAAAUAUAUAUACCUCAGCUGGAAAAGUAAAGUACCCUAAAGUGAAGCACCUUAAAUUUAUACAAAGGAGGGGAUUUCUAUAUAGUACAUCAAGCAUGUGAAAAGUGCAAAAUGACUGAUGUGUAGAUACUGAUCUUGUAGGACAUUCUUGAGAAGACAAUUAAUUAUUGACCACGAUCAACCACAAAUUGGUCAGUAAAAUUAGAUAAGAGUGCUGGCUGUUUCGCUCCCUUGUCAUUUUAUGCUGUAGCAGUUUUGGUUUAAUGACCACAGGGCAUUUCGUUUUGACUCCGCAUCAAUUGGAUGUACUUAUUUUUCCAACAAAUGAUAUCCAUCAAAAUGCUUUUUGUAAUGAAAAUAAAACUAAGUGAAUUUGCAAUGUUUGAAGAACAAAGCGGUUUGCUUACAGGCAUUCAAUGGAAGUUGGAUGGGAUUAAAUGGCAAAACGCACAAAAUGGGGAACCACCAUGUUGGGUCAGCUGUUGUCUUUAUACACCAAGUUCGAACAUGAACCAUCAUUUUGUUGCUUCUUUUAUACCAUUUAAUACCUGUAAACAAAACCAUUUCACAUGUGUUCCUGCCUAUUGUUUAAUUUGUCAUAUAUUACUCAUGUUCUGUUACAUUUUGCCCAUUGGUUUAUUGUGGAGAUGAAUAUUCUUGAAAACGGAUUAGUGCACUUGUUCUGACGAAAAAAAAUACAUAAACAGGAUAUGAUUAUCGACGCGCAAACAAGGAACAAUUUAACAUUUUUCAAUUUGAAAAUAUUAAAUUGGGCUACUGAUUAAUAAAAGCCACUAGUGCCACAAAAUCUUAAUAAUGUGUUUUUAUUUCAAAUGGUAAGUUAAAUCAUGAGGCAGAUGAGAGCAUUUUGAUGUACUUGCUGUGGGUGUAAAACUGUCUGUUAGCCAGAACGAAACUAAACGAAGUGUCCCGUGGCAGAGCGCAGUAGCAGGAAGACCCAGGCAUGGCACAACCAAAACUGCAAAAGUACAAAUUAGAGAAGGGGCAAAAGGACCAGCAGCUAGCACCGAUUGACACAUUUCCAUUAGGAAACUAAAUAUUUCAUUCUUUUUAGGACGUUUGUCACUGGAGAUUUUACCCUGCUCGUCAUUCGUUUAAUGUCAGAUGCAAUCUGCGGCCUUUCAUUUUCUUUUUUUUUUUUUUUUUGUUGUUUUAUAUAUUUUCUUUUUUUGUUGUUUGCUUUUUACUGGUUUAAGUGACAUCACCCUCCCAGCUGCUACAACAAACACAUUCACACCACUCGCUUGUUCAACAAGAAUUUACACCCAUUUUGAGAGAAAAAGAAAAAGCAAACAAAAUUAUCAAAUAAAACAGAAAGAAAGAAAGAGAAAAGAAAUUACAAAUUUUGAGAAACGUCACAUCACACUUACUAUGGCCACUCUAAUCAAAGUACAAUUCAAAUAUUCAUGGAGUUUUUCCACCCCAAAAAUAGUUAUAUCUAAGCACUAGGAAUAAUGAGAAAUAAUAACAUUAAUAAUAGUAAUAAUAAAAAAAACCUUCAUUGUUGUUGUUCUUUAUUCUUACUGAUCUCACAUCUCUCCAACCUGCCACAUUUUCUUUUUUUUUUUUUUACAUACAGGAAUACAAACGUGAUGACAACACUAUUCGGGGUAACCUGGAGAGUUCUAACUCAAAUCCAGCAUCUAAAAUAAAAAAAUAAACUAAAUGCUAAUUAAUUUCUUUACCUAAAAUGGAAUUGACUUGCUUUCCCCCUCCCAACCCCCCAGAAAUGAAGAUUUACAAAUACAAUCUUCAAGAGAAGAGCUCCCCAGAAAAGUUUACAGUGUACAAACUCCUGUCCUACGGCAGGAUGUUAAAAAGAAAAACCAAAAAUGUUUUAUUUACUUGAACAAAAAGACCCUCAUCUUCUUAUUUCGUGUACCGUCGGAGGCACUCGAUCUCACAACGUCCAGCUCACAAACAACACAGCCGCUCUCGCCUUGCAUGCACACUUCAGCUGCAGAGGCAGAGUUUAACCCCCAGCGGACCGCAGCCAGCAACACGAUCAGGAUAUUUACCUUUAUGUACAGUCUCCCAAUUUUACCAAACACUGACAGUACAGUGACCCUUACACACACACACACACACACACCCCGCACAUGAACAGACACCCCUGGGGACAAUGCACUUCAGUGGGUCUCUGAUGGCCGAAGGCUGCAAAGCACUUUUUCUUUUUAAAAAAAAGACAGAACAGUGCACAUAGAACGGGGUGACUUUUUCAAAAUUAAUAUAUAUAUUUUUUGAUCUGCAUAAUAAAUCCGGGUGAAGACGAAGAGCUUGAGCUUGACUUGAGGAUCAUUUUGUUGCUGCUCACACCAGAGAGCGCUCGGGAAAAUUUCGCCCCUCAGAAAAGGAAAUAUUUCUUUCACGAUUGUAGGGAAAGAGUGCAAAAGAGCUGCUUUUUCUCUGAGAGAAAACUCUGAUUUCUACAUUAACGACUGUAUGAUUGAUAUACAUAAUGCCCUGUAAUAUGCCUGAGAGGUUUAGAUUGAGACUUCUGAACACUGCACGGGGAAGAAGAUGAUUGCCUAUGUGCUCUAUUUAAGUGCUAUAUAUUUUUCCUUAUCUAGUGGAUUCUAUUUAAGCUUCUAGUCGGCCAUUAAAACAACAUUCUUCUCUAGUCCAAUAAUUACUUUAACACACUUUUACUGGUUCUGCAAGGGGGAGUAUGUGUGUUUAUAUACAUUUAUACAAAUCUACUAGGUAUAAAAUACUCUCUAAAGGCUUGCCUGAGCCUGUCUGGAACUGAUUUGGACAGGUCUCACUAGCAUUAGUUGGUGUGUGAUUGUUGCGCAGGUCACAGGCCACUUAGCUGAUGUGUUCGUUAAGGCAUCUAUUCGGGAAUUGCAUUCGGCUGACGUCUCCCGAGAAAAAAGAGAGCAAGAGGGCCUGGCUGAAGCCCUCCGGGAUCUGAGACCGACCGGGAUUCUACGAGAAAAAAAAUGAUCUCCUACAAUGAUUGUCGUGCUCAAGUCAAGCCGUCUCUCCUGUAAAAUAUAUGAGCUCCUUUCGAAAGGUUACAUGCUAGCACCCCAGGUGGAAAGUUGAAAGAAAGAGUCACGGUUAGGCAUGGGCCGGUGUGGGUUUGAGUGAAAACACCACGGUGGCUAGGGCAUUUACAGGGACAUUUAAAAGCAACAUGACUGCUUUUAUAGAAAACAAAAGAAACAAUUAUUCUUGCUGCCGCCAAAACAAUUUAACAUAUAGAUUAUUGCAGCUAUAAAGUUGUCAAUAAAAUGUAUUUAUUAUUUUGAUUUUGAUAUGUGGACUUAAGCAACAAUUGAGAAAAAUCCUGCAUUAAACUUAUUAGUUUACAAGUAGACGACUGUAUUGCAGCAAAUGUUACACCUAAGGCAAGGAGUAGCGCUAGCUAACAAUAGCUAGUAAAUUAGGCUAGGAGUAUAGCUAGCUAAAAAUAGCUAUUAAAUUAGGCAAGGAGUAGAGCUAGCUAACAAUAGCUAUAAAUUAAGCUAGGAGUAUAGCUAGCUAACAUUAGCUAGUAAAUUAGUCAGAUCAUCAGCGUAUAGUUUUUCAAUUGUAGUUUUAUAAUUGACUUACUUUAAAGGUGAUUGGGGAACUCUUUUAUGUUUUACUCUCUCAUGUUUUAAAAUUGUUUCUAAACAGCUGAAUUUUUCUUUCUUUGUAAUUGUAGCAUCCUUUAUUCAGCUAGCUACUAAUUAAGCAUUAUUUUUAUGCACAGACAUAGGCAAAAAUAUAUAUAAAAAAACAUACUCUAAUUUUACCAGUAGUUUUAGUGUUUAAUGCACAGACUAUCAAACAUGUCCAUCAAUGUCUGAAACCACUUUCGGAGCAUUGUAGGCUAUUAUUAGCAAGUUAAUUCAUCGGGCUAGAUCCUGCACGUGUCGGAAUAAAGUGACAGGUGGGUAGUCCUUUAGUUACCAUUUCAUGAGUUUUUGGACAACUGGAAAUAUUUUCAAACAGCCUAAUUUAUGUUUUUUGUAGGUACAGUAAAGGUAUUUUAGAUUUUAUUUUCUAGCUAACCAGCUGUGAAGGGAUAGCGACAGUGCUGCUUCUUACAGAUGGAGAAAAACUGAUUUUAUUUCUUGUUAAAGACGUUUCAAACUUUCAAAAGCGGUGAGUGAAAAUCUUUAAAAACUUCAAGUAGCUCGAUAUGGCUAACCGACCCAUGCCUAGUCACAGCAGACUAAUUAGUGACUUUGCAGCCGUAGUAAGACCUACAUAGGAUGAAUUCUUAUGUUUUUUAUACAUACUUCUAAAAAAAUUCACCCUUUUCCAAAAAAAUAUAUUACACUGAAACAUGUCUGACUGUCAUUCGGUAGAUGCUGGAGAAAACAAGAAAAAAAAAAAAAUCAGACCUUGCCUUACACUGCAUAGAAAGCAGUCCCCACUUUGGUCAAUAAAAAAAAAAAAAAAAGAAAAAAAAAA